rnacentral:rRNA from 1 species
UACGUAGGGUGCAAGCGUUGUCCGGAAUUACUGGGCGUAAAGCGUGCGUAGGUGGUUUGUUAAGUCUGAUGUGAAAGCCCUGGGCUCAACCUGGGAAUUGCACUGGAUACUGGCAGGCUAGAGUGCGGUAGAGGAUGGCGGAAUUCCCGGUGUAGCAGUGAAAUGCGUAGAGAUCGGGAGGAACAUCCGUGGCGAAGGCGGCCAUCUGGACCAGCACUGACACUGAGGCACGAAAGCGUGGGGAGCAAACAGG